AUGGCUGUCGUCAGCUCGUGUCGUGAGAUGUUGGGUUAAGUCCCGCAACGAGCGCAACCCUCACUUUUAGUUGCCAUCAUUAAGUUGGGCACUCUGAAAGAACUGCCAGUGAUAAGCUGGAGGAAGGUGGGGAUGACGUCAAGUCCUCAUGGCCCUUACGUGUUGGGCUACACACGUGCUACAAUGGUAUCUACAACAGGAAGCGAAACUGCGAGGUUGAGCAAAUCCCUAAAAGAUACCUCAGUUCGGAUUGCACUCUGCAACUCGAGUGCAUGAAGCUGGAAUUACUAGUAAUCGUGGAUCAGCGUGCCACGGUGAAUGCGUUCCCGGGUCUUGUACACACCGCCCGUCACACCAUGGGAGUUGGUUCUACCUUAAGGCAAGGUUUCAAACCCUUGACCACGGUAUAGUCAGCGACUGGGGUGAAGUCGUAACAAGGUAGCCGUAGGGGAACCUGCGGCUGGAUUACCUCCUUUCUAAGGAUGAAUGAAAGUAAAAUUUCAUUCUAAAUAAUAUACAUAGGUAAUGUUGACCGUCCUCAUUUCUCUUCUUAAAGUGAUGUUUCCUUCUUGUAGGGCCGGUAGCUCAGUUGGUUAGAGCACACCCUUGAUAAGGGUGGGGUCGAAAGUUCGAGUCUUUCUCGGCCCACCAUACUUAACUGGGGGAUUAGCUCAGCUGGGAGAGCGCCUGAUUUGCAUUCAGGAGGUCAGCGGUUCGAUCCCGCUAUCCUCCACCAGGAAACAUUUAGUUAUAAAAACCGUAAAUAAAUUUAAUAAUUAAUAUCAAUAUCUAUAUCCGAACAUUAGUAAUGUUAUUAGCUAAUGUUCAAAAUAAAAAUUUGAUCACAACAUAGAUAAUUUUUCUUUAAAAAGAAUUUUUUUCUGUGCAUAAAUCAAGCGUUUAAGGGCGUGUAGUGGAUGCCUUGGCACUGAAAGCCGAUGAAGGACGUGAUAUACUGCGAUAAGUUUCGGGGAGCUGUAUGUAAGUUUUGAUCCGAAAAUUUCCGAAUGGGGAAACCCGG
rnacentral:sRNA from 1 species